GUUUUAUGAUUCUUAAUAUAAAAUCAAACCUGCUCAAUGACAAAAGUUAAAUAGCCGCAGUAAACUGACUGUGCAAAGGUAGCAUAAUAAAUUGUCUUUUAAUUGAAGACUGGAAUGAAUGGUUUAACGUAAGAAACUCUGUCUCUAUUUUUAUAUUUGAACUUUAUUUUUAUAUGAAAAAGUAUAAAAUUUUAUUAAGGGACGAAAAGACCCCAUCAAGUUUUAUAUAAAACUUAUUACAUUCUUUAAAUAAUAAAUAUUAUAUUUAUCUGGGGCGGAUUAAAUAAACUAUCUUUUUAUAAAUAUUAUAACUAAGUGUUUAUUAAUGAUCUUUAAUUUUAAAUAAAAAAACAAAUUACUGUGGGGGUAACAGCGUUAUUUUUUUGGUAAGCUCAAAUUUAUAAAAAAGAUUACGACCUCGAUGUUGGAUUAUUUUAACCUAUUUAAUGAAAAAGUUAAUUAGGUGAGUCUGUUCGACUCAUAAAAAUUUACA
rnacentral:rRNA from 1 species